GCGGUUGGCCACCUAUUUAAGCCCCGUUGACUGGCCAUGGAGGGUGCUAGAAGCUCUCUUUGUGGUCAAGGUGGGGUUUAGGUUCUCCUUGGAUGUUUUCAUGAUGUUUUCCUCAAAUCUUGGAAGGUUUUCAUGAGUUUUCCCUUGGAUUUGAAGGUUUUGAGUCAAAAGAGGAAGUGGUGGAGCUUGAAGCUUGAGGAGCUUGGUUUCUCCAUGCUUUGAAGCUAGGAUCACACCAGCCAAGAGGUAAGUGUUGAUCCGUAUGUUUUAUAGGGUUUUCAGCAAGUUUUAUGAAGGGAAGGGUAGAGUUGCAUGGUGAGGUGUAAAAGGAGGUUUUUGAGGGUUUUUAUGCAUGAGUAUGUUGAUGUGUUAUGG
rnacentral:lncRNA from 1 species